CACGUAGGGGACGAGCGUUGUCCGGAUUCAUUGGGCGUAAAGGGUGCGUAGGUGGCGCCGUAAGUCGGGUGUGAAAUUUCGGAGCUUAACUCCGAAACUGCAUUCGAUACUGCGGUGCUUGAGGACUGGAGAGGAGACUGGAAUUCAUGGUGUAGCAGUGAAAAUGCGUAGAGAUCAUGAGGAAGACCAGUGGCGAAGGCGGGGUCUCUGGACAGUUCUUGACGCUGAGGCGCGAAAAGCUAGGGGGAGCGAACAGG
rnacentral:rRNA from 1 species